AAAACAAAAGGUUUCUUUUGUUUAGUGUUGGACAAGAAGAUGCCGCUAGGAAAAGUAGUUUUUUGCAUACGCUAUUUCUCAAAAACGAAGAGCAACCCAGCAAAAAAAACUACAGAGCAAUGUUUCUCAGGUAAAACGAAGCCUGCAUGCCAAAAUUCGGCUAUUUUUGAGCACUUUCAAAAAUAGCCAAAAAACCUAGGGGACAUUCUUGCCCGUGGCCUUUCAAUUUAUGGAUAAAAUUAGACUGAUUCAAAGAUAACAAAACAUCAUUGUGGUUCAUUAGUACCACUUAUGAGGGAGUCUGUAGUAUUAAAAUUUUUUAUAUACUUCCCAAGUCACUUGAUGGAAAUUAUAUCAAAGAGAAAUCUUUGUGGGAGUAAAAUUUUGACAUGUGUUAAAACAGUAACAUUGAGGCACAUAAAUAUAAUGAUGUUGAAUGACAGUUUAUUAUGUUGAAAUUCUGACAGCAAUAUGAAAACCUAAUGAGGAUCCUGCGGAAUUGUGACAAGAAAAAAUUUCAAAUAUUUUCACGAGGCUAUUUCCUUAGGUCCUCAUUUAAUUCCAAAGGAUAUGCAUAAGCUCCCUAACUGGCCCUCAAUAGAAACUUGCAAUGUGUACCACCUUGUAAGCAGUCAGACAUCAUAACAAUCUUUGAAAUAGUUGGUAAUAAUUGCUACUUACUGUAUAGAGCCAGCUUUAAUACCAAGAUCCUUACCAAAAGCUAAGACUUUAUACCUUUUUAUUAAAUAUUGUGUACACGUACUGCAGUCAAUUUGCACUGAUGCAUUGUUAGAUAAAGGAUUUGUAUGAAAAACUUUUUUUAUGAAGUAAAAAGAAAAAAUUCUGGGCACAUUGGAUACAUGUACCUCUCAUCACAAAAAUGUUAAGGCCUCUCAUCCUACCCACCCCUACCUAAUCAGUGACCUCCUCUUUUCCACUCCCCCUUGCCCUUGCAAAGUAGGCCACUUUUGGUAUAUUAAAAUUCAAACAUGGCUUUGGGUCCUGGGAGAAUAAAACAAAAGAAAUAAAUUUUUCAUCCCUCAACUUGGAUGUGAUUUCUUAUAUUGUUUUAUUCCCCCAUGCCUCGGAGCCAAUUAAGAAUUUUAAUGUUAUCGGCAUAUUAUUAGGUAUUGGGAUAAUGCAUUUAUUUAGCACUUGUGGUACUUCAACACUCAAUUAUGUGUCUAUUUAUACAUUAACAUGGAUUAGUUUAUUUUAUUGUUAUUUAAUUCUCUUUUCUAGGAGCGGCUCGAGGUAAAGUUUAAAGGCCUAGUUGAUUCAGUUAGAAAUGAAAUGUUUCUUCUUGAGAAAGGAAAAUUUACCCAAAUUCAAGAGGAAAAUCAGAAAUUAAGAGAUGAAGUUAAAUCACUUAAAGGAAUUUUGGAGGUAGGAAAGCAGAGUUUGUGAAUUGCAUUGUUUUUCAAAGUUCAUGUUAUUUAAUUGUAUGAAACUUUUCGUAACAGUUUUGCAACU